GAUGAAGAACGCAGCGAAAUGCGAUACUUGGUGUGAAUUGCAGAAUCCCGUGAACCAUCGAGUCUUUGAACGCAAGUUGCGCCCGAAGCCACUAGGCCGAGGGCACGCCUGCCUGGGCGUCACACGCCGUUGCCCCCCCAUCUACCCCUUCGGGAUUGCGGGGGGGCGGAUGAUGGCCUCCCGUGCGCCUAGCCGCGCGGUUGGCAUAAAUACCAAGUCCUCGGCGACGCACGCCACGACAAUCGGUGGUUGCGAAACCUCGGUUGCCCGUCGUGUGCGUUCGUCGCGCAUCGAGGGCUCGAAAAAAUGCUCGGCUCCGGCUGGGCUUUCAACGCGACCCCAGGUCAGGCGGGGUUACCCGCUGAAUUUAAGCAUAUCAAUAAGCGGAGGA
rnacentral:misc_RNA from 1 species